rnacentral:rRNA from 1 species
UACGUAGGGACCAAGCGUUGUCCGGAAUCAUUGGGCGUAAAGAGCGUGUAGGCGGCUUGUUAAGUCUUGCGUGAAAUCUCGGGGCUCAACCCCGAGCGGUCGUGAGAAACUGGCAGGCUAGAGUGCGGGAGAGGAGACUGGAAUUCCUGGUGUAGCGGUGAAAUGCGCAGAUAUCAGGAGGAACACCGGUGGCGAAGGCGGGUCUCUGGGCCGAUACUGACGCUGAGGAGCGAAAGCGUGGGGAGCAAACAGG